rnacentral:RNase_P_RNA from 1 species
GGCGGUUGGCAGAUGAUCGCUGUCGGCGCAAGCCGGCAGAGGAAAGUCCGAACACCACAAGGCAGCAUGCCGCGCAGAAUGCGCGGAGGCGCCGGGCGAAAGUCCGGUGCGAUGGAAAGUGUCACAGAAAACAAACCGCCCGCGGCGCAAGUCGCGGGUAAGGGUGAAAAGGCGGGGUAAGAGCCCACCGCCCGGCGCGCGAGUGCCGGGGCACGAUAAACCCCAUGCGGUGCAAGACAAAACAGGGAGCCGGGCCGCCUGCCCAGCCGCGCCUUCGGGCGUGGCACUCCCGGGUAAUAGUCGCAUCAGCACGCCGCAAGGCGUGCGGCGGUCCGCGCAAGCGGGCUGAGAGAAAUGAUCAUCACUGGCGCGGGCAACCGCGCCGGAACAGAAUUCGGCUUAUCGCCGCCAAAA